GAUGAACGCUAGCUACAGGCUUAACACAUGCAAGUCGAGGGACCGGCGCACGGGUGAGUAACACGUAUCCAACCUGCCCUUUACUCGGGGAUAGCCUUUCGAAAGAAAGAUUAAUACCCGAUGUAAAGGAUGGGGAUGCGUUCGAUUAGGUUGUUGGUGAGGUAACGGCGAACCAAGCCUUCGAUGGAUAGGGGUUCUGAGAGGAAGGUCCUCCACAUGGGAACGGAGUCACGGUCCAAACUCCUACGGGAGGCAGAAGUGAGGAAUAUUGGUCAAUGGGCGUUAGCCUGAACCAGCCAAGUAGCGUGCAGGAUGACGGCCUAUGGGUUGUAAUCUGCUUUUGUAGGGGGAUAGGUACCAGACGAAUAAGGACCGGCUAAUUCCGUGCCAGCAGCCGCGGUAAUAC
rnacentral:rRNA from 1 species